GAGCAAGCUCCUUGGCAAUGAUGGCAAGGAAAAAAAACCUUUCUCCUUUUAUGAUUAUUGAGCCAUCCUGCGAUUUGAAAACUGCAGUAGACCACAUUGUGAUUAAAUUGCAAUUGCGAUUAAUUGUGCCGGUCAUGCAUGAUUUCUCAGUUGUUUCUAACAAAAAUAUGCAAAGCAUGUAUUUUCACUUAAGUAUCCUGAAUAAAUCAACAUCAAAUCGCAAAUCUAAUCAAAACUUAUGAAUUUAAAUAGAACCAUGAAAUCAUUAUCACUAUCAUUAUCAGACACAGACGGUGAGACAAAGUGGUGAUAUUUGAACAGCCUGCACUAGUUAAUAGACUGGGAGAUUCAUACCUACUGCCCACAGGUUUGCAGCCCAAAAACACCCCGCACACAGCAAAAUGAGAAGAGAUACAGGUAGAGGGCAGAGUCUCAGCAGAUAAGACACCAACACACUUGUCGUGAUUCAUAACUUUUGUAUGAGUUUGUACAUCUUUUUUUUUUUUUUUUUUUUAAAGUAAAAUGCUAUACUUGAACUUACCUUGAUUUUUUUUGUUGAUUUGUUUUCCGUUUUGGCGAAAGUUCUCCUCUCCUUCUCUUUUUGAUCUCUGAAUUUCAUAAACUGAGCUAAGUUUGAUGCAGCACAUCCAUCACUCACUGACACAGAGAGAGAAACAGAGAGAGGGAGAGAGAGACUGAUCAAAGGGUCUGUUUAUGGGUAUAGGUGUUGUCACUAUGUUGGCUGACAGAAAAAAUCACAUUACUGUGCCUAAAUUAAAUGAAUUAAAAACAGCUCAAAAAAUGAUGUUAUCGUUUGGCACAAGAUGAGAGGGGCCAGGAACAAGGUCGGUUGAAGCGACCUCCAUGAUAAAUGUGACACCCCUGCCGCAGGAGAUGCAAAAUUUUUGCUUUGCCUCCAACUUAAACCCCCAGAAAGGGCAAAACAUUUUGUUCUCAAAAAGGCAAAUGGGCUGAAGUUACCAUAGUACAUUGUCUCUUGCUAACCAUUGUCUCAUGCUACCCAUCCUUUCUUUACAUAAAAGAUCGAGAGGGACCCAGCUGCAGACAGAUGGCGGACAAAGGCGCCGCCAUAUAUCCAAUCCAUACCGGAAGUCUAACUGGAAGUUGGUCUGUGUAUUAUUCGCAGAAGAGGAAGAAGACGACGGAGAAGACGAAGAGAAGAAUGCGAACAAUACAUGCAUGACUAGAGAAAGAAAAGAAAGAAAGAACGAUGCACCCCUCUAUUUUGAGUGACGAAGCCAGUCUGGGGCACACAACCUUUUCACCAUCCGAGUUUGGGUGUCCUCUCUGCCCCAAAUUUAAAACCAAAAAUGAGAGCGCGAUCCAGAGGCACCUGAAAAAACAUACGGAAAAUGCAGUUCAUUUCCAUGACUAUCAUGGAGGCAGAUGAGUACCACCUGCUGUCACAGCAUACAGCUGCAGCUGUGCAAAGGGUUAACCAUAUGAUAGCUUUAUUACCGUAUAUCAAACAGCACAUUACCUCCAACUUGGCCUUCCAACAGUCCCACCUGCACCAGCGAACCACAGAGGUAGCAUCGGCCAAGGACCCAGGGAGUCCAUGCAGAGGCCGUGACUGACCUUAUAGUUAAGAAGGCCAAAUCUUUGGGACCCCUACCAGAUUCACACAAAUGACCUCUGGAGCAAAACUGAGCCACAUCCACCCUUGCCCAUUACUGUGCAACAUCCUAGAGGGGAUGUCCACCCUAGAGAUGGUCCCCUCACAGUUUGGCCUUGUACCUUAUGCUGGAGUCUAACCCGGGCCGCUGCGGCAACAGCCUUGUACAUGGAGCGCCUGCUCUACCACUAAGCCACAGACACCCCGAUACAGUCGUCUCUUGAAAAACUAUUGGCGCUGCACUGGACUCUCAACACCAAAAGAUAAUGACCAUUGAAAACACACUCAGCAUCCACAGUGAUGAGCUAGCUGAACUAACAGCAAGAGUUGAUCGGCUGGAGAAAGCAAAUGCUGCGCUAGCAUCCAAAGCGGAGGACCUUGAGAAUCGCUCCAGGCAGCAAAACCUAAGAAUCGCCGGCAUACCUGAAGCUCACCGUUGGAAUUCAUCUCACAGCUUCUUCAUACAGUUAUUGGAAAUUACAUUUUCCCUGAACCACCGGAGCUGGACAGAGUGCAUCGUAUGCUAGCUCCAAAGCCAGCAGCGGGACAAUGUCCACGAGCCAUCCUCGUCAGGUUCCGUUAUCAGGACAUGGAACAUGUGCUUCGCUGUGCAAGAUCGCAGAGAGAAGGCAUACAGUUCAACGGCAACAGGAUCCUGUUCUUCCCCAGUAUGAGCGUGUGGCUGGCCAAGUCUGGCCAAGCAACGAGCGACAUUUAAGGACAUCAAGGCUAAACUCUACGCCGCUGGAAUCACAUUCUUCCUACACUACCCGGCCCGCCUGUGCAUCACCGUCAACGGCGAAAAACAUCUGUUUGACACUCCUGCAGCGGCAGAAGCAUUUUAUGAACAGAUAAAAGGGAACUUUCCAGCCAAUAAUGAUGAAGAACAGGACUAACUGAUGUCGACCACAUCUGAACAGUUUGAGAUAUGUUAACACUCUAACACUAUAGGAUGGGGGCUGUAAGAUGCAGAUCUCAGAUAAUUAAUAGAUUGCCUGAUCCGUGUUCUGGACUACAGAAACUUAAAGGCAACUUAUGUGUCAAAUAUCCUUUAUCUGUUUAGGUGAACUUGGGUAAGCACACAGUGAAGUUUAACUUGAUAUAUUGUUUUAACAUAGAUGCACUUGCAAUGUAAGGUUUCAAUAAUGGGAGCAGGUUCCUGCUGCUUCCUAUGUUAGAAUAAUAUGAAAAAUAGAUUGUACAGCAUUGUUAUGCUGUGUUCCCACCAAACGCGAAUUCGCAAAUUCGCGCGUCGAGAUUACAUACAAAGUCAAUGCAAAGACGCAAUUAGACGUGAUUAGACGUGAAUUCGCACUGGGCGGCGCGAUGGAUGUGUAGGCACGGCGCGAUAGACGCAAAAUUUUCGUCCAUUGCCUCAUCACUCGAGUUGAAAAUAUUGAACUUUUGACAUGAAUUCGCGUGGCGCUGUGCCGCGAAAGCCAAUCAACAUUGAGACUGUCCCGACGUCACUGACGUCCUGACGUUCUCGCGCCCUGCCUGGUGCCAGUCAAAUAUGGAGGAGAAAUUAAUAGUUGCUGUGUGCGGACACCCCGAGCUGUACGACACCACAGUGGUGUUGUACAGGGACAGGAACAGGAAGGAGCAGGCCUGGGUAAAGGUGAGCGAGGAGGCUGGAUUACCUGGUAAGUUCUGUAAAUAUCUGUUGCUUGUUUGCAGCUAUCAGUUGUACUGUACUAUGAUCGUUAGCACUAGCAUAGCUCUACUUAGCAUAGCUGGCUUUCCCGGCAUAACGUUAAAGUUACUUGUCUGGCUUAUUAGAUUGACCAGUUAAUUUACGUGUGUUUUUUUUGUGGAUGUUUGCCGGAGAAAGUGAAAGAGCCUCAGGGACACCUAUUUAAAAGAAAGAAAGAAGGAGACAGAGAAAAAGAGUGGGGCAGCAGCAGGGACAGGGAAGAAAUGGAGAUACUUUGCGGUCCUAUCUUUCCUCGACCCCUUUGUUGCACCGAGGGAGACGAGCAGGAACAUGGGUCGGGUUCAGGAAGAUAGGACCACAGACUAUGAGACAGAGUGGACAGAGUCUGGAGCAGGGCCAGUCGAGCUGAAGAACGAGGGAGAGACAGCAGCAGGCCCAUCAGGGAUUGAUAUCGGAGGUUUGUUGACAAAUGAAGACGCACACAUGUACAGUAUUGAAAAUGUUUUUUUGUAUAAAUGGAUAACUGGCUUGUAUAGAUGUCUCAGUAACAUUACAGACAGAGAUUGCUUUUCACAGCCUGCACUAAAAAACUGACAAAGAAAAUGUGAAAAUACCCCAAACUAAUAUGUACUCUCACCUACACCAAACCUGCAAUUCAAAACAUGUGAAGAAUGGAUAGAACAACCCAACUGAAGAACACAAAAACACUAGAAGUUACUGAAUUGGUUAAAUUUAUUUAUGACUGAAACCGAUUUCUUUGAAUACUCAAUAUCGAGAAUGAACAAUACAUAAGGUACAUUUUAGUAAGUCUGGGAUCAUUUCUUUCUGUACAUUAAGGGCUCACUGCGUUACAGGGUUAGAUAUUACUAUGAGUGGAACUGUAUGAUGUAUUAAUGGGUGCAUUAAAUGUUGUAUGUGCUGUAAUUGACACUGAAAGUUAGAAUGACGUAGACAAUUAAUAUACUGUAUGUAUCAAACAAAAAACUGUACUGUGACACUAUGACAAGUACUGUAUUGAUUACCUUUCAUGUUUGACUCAUGUCUUUUUGUCUGUUUCCUGAUUUCAAUAGUUUAACAAAUAUUAACUUGGAUAUUGUCAUCUUUUGCGUUGAUUGGAUGCAGUAGUUUCACAAAAUAUGAUGUGUCCAUUUUAUACAGUGACGAGGAGGACAAGGAAGAGAGCCAGGGGGGUGGAUGAGCAAGACAGGCAGGCACAGAUCGAGCGGCUUCUCCUUGAAUCCCUCUGUUGGACUCCUCCUGCCCCUCAACCUCCCUCCUCAGAGGAUGAAUUAUUCCUCAAAAGCCUGGUUCCUUCCCUUCAGAGAUUGUCGCCCCAAAGGAAGGAAUACGUUAAAUUCCAAAUUCAUAAACUUAUUUAUGAAUCUAGCACUGUUUUGCUUAAUUUGGAGCCUGUUGAAUAGCUUAUUAGCUACUGGGGCAACAAUCUUUGCAGGGAACAAACCAGGCAUUUGAGGAAUAAUCCCAGGUAACCCUGAGGCUCUUCCAUCGAACGACUGUAUAUAUUGUACAUAUGUUCCACACAUUUUCUGUGUCUUGUUUUUUUUUAUUACUAAUAUUAUUAUUUUUUCCAUAAUCGAGCAGCCCUAAUCUGUUCUAUCUAUAAAAGGAGACAAAAUAAAUGUAUAUAGGAAGAGUUAACAGACUGUUGUUGUUAUUCACCUCAUCAGUAAAACAAUAUAUACAUUUAAAUACAUAAAAUAGUAAGUACAUGUGACAUGUUCCAAAUUGCUGUUGAUUAUUUACUUACUGUGUACAGGUGGUUUUGUUUGGGUUGCUGCUAAAUGUGGUCAUAUUGAGUCACAACAUCUGCACUGGAUAUAGUGCAUAAUGUAUACUGUAGGAUGAUUGAAUUGUGCAGGAUACACAGCUACUACAGAAAAAGUACCAGUUCUAGAAAUCAAAUGGACAUGUUGUCCUUCUCUAAAUUAAAAUUUUAAAUGGUAUAUUUGUGUCUACAAUAAUACCAGAUAGCACCAUUGAUAUGAUAGUCAGCAUAUCAGUGAUGUCUGCUUUUAUUUUGGUGUUUAUUAUAUUAUGUUGCAGUGUAGACAUGCCAAAUUAAAGCUUUAUUAUCUCACAAUAUGAUAUCAAUCGAUAACCUAGCAUGCGUGAACAGGCAUGUUAUUUUUGGUGCUUAUAUACAUUCAUUCAUUUCAUUUUUAUUUCAGUUUUAAUGUCAAUAUAGUAAUACUGCAGGAUGUUUGCUCAAUAGUAGGUGUGUGGCUCUUAAUAGAGCCGUUGUAGGAGUGCUUGUGUACUAAACGUUGGCUUGCCACGGGACUGUUCCCUCUGUGGAGAAGUACGCUGUGAAGGUCUCCUGAACCCUGAUGGCCUCUCUUGCAAAGUUGUUUGCUGCCCAGACCUGGCAGCGGCUCCACGUCACCAACUGGGAUGCUGCCCCUCAUCGCAGGCGUAGGGGCCAUCUUCCGCAGGAAGUUGUGGAUACCACCAGCCGUGCCCGGGACAGACGGUAAUUGAACAGCCGACGGUCUCGAGGAAGGGUGCGCCCAGGGAAUGGCCUCAUGAGGUUUCUCCGGAGUGGAAAAGCCUCAUCAGCCACAAAGACGUGUGGCUGGGGUCCUCUGUGGUCAGCUCCAGGUAAGAGAUGGUCAGCAGGCAGAUGGAGGGUGCCAGAGCGAAGUGCCUGACCAAAGGCUGAUUUGGCCAGGAUGCCACCAUCGCUCAUCCUCCCAUAGACCCCGACAUCAGUCACUCGGAAGCAAUACCUGGCAUCCACGACAGCCAAGAGGACAAUGGAAAAUGACCCCUUGUCAUUAAAAAACUGGGAUCCCGUGUUGUCAUGGGCUUGAAUCCUCACGUGCUUCCCUCACUGGAGACGCCAACACAGAAGCUGUUGGUGAUGUUUCUGUAGGAGUCACCAGUGACCAGGUAUCUGCACCAUAGAAAACAUUUAAUUUAGCUGAGUUGUAGCGAAUGCAGUGAUACUGUAAGUGGCAGUUUAGAUCCCCAUUAGCUACUGUACAUAAAUCAUUUCACAAUACUUCAAUACAGAAAAUACACAAACACAUUACAUUCAUACUCACAAGACUCAAAAUACAAAACACAACCAAAAAGACACACAACAAAUAAUAUUCUAUUUAUAUGGCUACACAUAUGAAAAUGCUGAGGUUGCACUAUUGCUUUAUUGCAGUGGAUAAAACAAGAGCUAAUUUUCUAUUUAAAAACACGACAAGCAGGUCAAGAGCUAGAAUUUAUUCAUACAUUAUAAAUAAAG